GAUGAACGCUAGCGGCAGGCCUAACACAUGCAAGUCGAGGGGUAACUAGAGUGAUAGCAAUAUUACUUUGGCUAGACCGGCGCACGGGUGCGUAACACGUAUGCAACCUACCUUAUACUGGGGAAUAACUUCGAGAAAUCGGCGCUAAUACCCCAUAACACUGCGGAGAGGCAUCUCUUUGCAGUUAAAGCUCCGGCGGUAUAAGAUGGGCAUGCGUCCAAUUAGCUAGUUGGUGAGGUAACGGCUCACCAAGGCUACGAUUGGUAGGGGUUCUGAGAGGAUGAUCCCCCACACUGGUACUGAGACACGGACCAGACUCCUACGGGAGGCAGCAGUGAGGAAUAUUGUGCAAUGGACGAAAGUCUGACGCAGCCAUGCCGCGUGCAGGAUGACGGCCCUAUGGGUUGUAAACUGCUUUUGUACGGGAAUAAACCCUUCUACGUGUAGGAGGCUGAAGGUACCGUAAGAAUAAGCACCGGCUAACUCCGUGCCAGCCGCCGCCGUAA
rnacentral:rRNA from 1 species